GCCGGCCUAGCUCAAUUGGCAGAGCAACUGACUUGUAAUCAGUAGGUUGGGGGUUCAAGUCCUCUGGCCGGCA
rfam:Lentibacillus amyloliquefaciens strain LAM0015, complete genome.